GAAGUAAAAAAAAAAAAAAAAAAAUGAAAAAUGAAAAAAAAAAAAAUGUUAAACCAGACAUAAAACGAGCCCAUUGUAAUCCCCCUAAGGAAGUGGAUACGUUCUCGGCAUCUCGGACACCUGCUAUACACGUAUAUUCGGUCUGCGGCCGUGUAACGUACACGAAAGGAAAAAAAAAAUGUAUAUAUAUAUAUAUAUACUCGUAGGCGCAUAAUGAAUUUUCAUGUUAUAUUUAAAUCGCGAUGAAAAAAAAUUAUCCGUUCCCUCCGACUUUUCGAACGCGAAUUGUAACGGUAAUUAUUUCUUAUCGAAAUACACCGUUCAUAAUCUAAUAUAGGUUUUCGAUGCGAAUUCAAAUGUAAAAUGUCCACAUAUUACAGAUCCGCACACGUUGUGUAUAGAACGUAAAAUAUCUGUUAACGCCAUAAACGGCCGUCGUUAUGUCGGACUGGCUGAACACUACUUCUUCGCGGAUUAGGUUAAAAUCGAAUUGGCGACGAUUCGUUUUGUUUUAUUACGGUCAACCGGUGACGCGAAAAUGUUUCGGCCGGACGGGCGGACAUAAACGCACUCGGGUUGAAGUGGGGUUUUUUUCCGGGAGUUCCGGGGUACUUAAAUAUGCGUGUGUUGUGUCUGUUUUCAAAAUGUCAAACAUUACGGGUGGGGGGAGGGCCGGUAUUCGCAGUACAACUUGCGUUUCAAACGGAAACACCUAUAGAAACACCGGCCAA